rnacentral:lncRNA from 1 species
UAGGGGUUCGACUCUUCUCCUCUAGUCUCGGUAGCUGAAAAGGGAACGGAUAAAUCUAUUAAAUACUCAAAUGCAGAGAUCGAGAGAUGGGCUGCUUUAGAUACUUUGCCUCUCAUUCAAAUAGAAAUUCUCAACAAGACCAACCCCUAAUGCUAAUGAUAGAACGGGUAAUCCAGCUUUUAUUCCGAGGGAUGUGACUUAUCUACUUCUGUUUUUUUUUUUGGCUUAAUUAAGUAUAGAUAGGGCACCCACCCCUCUCGCUUAAAUGGACCCCCUUCCUAUGUUCUUACGGCUCGAAAGGUGCGGAAUAGGACGCUCUUCCCCUUUGUUUAUUGAGUAGACUCCUGUUCUUUUCUUCGUUUAUGGAGACUGAACUGACGGACAGGCCCCUAUCUAAUAAGGGUACGCUUUGAGAUCCUUUCGUUCUGGUAUGAGGGAUAAUUUAAGAUUGUAAUCACCUGCGCUUUGAGUUCAUGAUAGGACAGGCACGUACCUUAUAUAUAAGGGCUACCGCUAUGCCCCUUCGAUUCCGUUUCGAUAUGGCAGGAUAGCUCUUCCGGGAGCUAAAGCACCUGUAUCUUUAUUGUGACUGCUUCUCAAGUAGUUUGAUCUAUCCGCUUUUCGCAGUGCUUCCCGCGUUCGCUCAUCAGAUGGGCGGUCAUCAGUCAAGAGAUCUUGGUCGGAAUUGUCAGUAGUCUGUAGGGCAAUUGCUCCAUGGGUGGUCGAUCCAACCGAUAUUGAUCUCCACUUUUUUCAGUGAGAAACCCUUCAGAGUGAGUGCUCUCGUGCAAUGAAUAAAUAAUACCUAACACCCUCCAGCCCUUAGCUUGAGUGCGAGACAUAGGGAUGCUUGCUGAGCAAUGGUUUCGGGAAGCUCUCUUCCUAUGUAUGGAAUUUGAAAGAGCCAAGGGAGAGUUGAUCCCCUUUUUCCCUUAUUCGCUGGUCUCACUCUACAAAUUAGGUGGGAAAUGCCCGAACGGAUAAGACCAAGUCCUAUGUUUUAAGUAUUUGGCUAUUAAUCGAAUAUGUGGGAUGCUAACUAUGAGCCCGGCUAGGGAAGUCGAUCAAGUUUUGUUUUCCCGGCUAUACCAUCCAUUUGCCUAAGGAGUGGGGCCGAUAAAUUGAUCAAGUUCUGUCACCCCCCGUCUUUUUGUCCUCAAUCGGAUUUCCCUUAACUUAAGGGAGCAGCCCGGAAACAGCAAAAUUGGAUUGGCUAGGUGAGGAAUUCCAGGUUUAGCGUAGCCCUAUCCUUAUUUAUCAGUGGCAUCUGCUCCUCUGGUC